rnacentral:rRNA from 1 species
AUACGGAGGGUGCAAGCGUUAUUGGGAAUCACUGGGCGUAAAGGGUGCGUAGGCGGUUUGAUAAGUCUGAUGUGAAAUCCUAUGGCUCAACCAUAGAACUGCAUUGGAAACUGUCAGACUAGAAUACUGAAGGGGCAGAUGGAAUUAGUGGUGUAGGGGUAAAAUCCGUAGAUAUCACUAGGAAUACCGAAAGCGAAAGCGAUCUGCUGGGAAGUUAUUGACGCUGAGGCACGAAAGCGUGGGGAGCAAACGGGAUUAGAAACCCUAGUAGUCC